UACGAAGGGUGCAAGCGUUGUUCGGAUUUAUUGGGCGUAAAGCGCGCGCAGGCGGAUCAGCAAGUCAGGUGUGAAAUCUCGGGGCUUAACCCCGAAAUUGCGCCUGAAACUACUAAUCUAGAGGGAUCCAGAGGGAGGGGGAAUUUCACGUGUAGGGGUAAAAUCCGUAGAGAUGUGAAGGAACACCGGAGGCGAAGGCGCCUUCCUGGGGAUCAUCUGACGCUGAGGUGCGAAAGCGUGGGGAGCAAACAGG
rnacentral:rRNA from 1 species